UACGAAGGGUGCAAACGUUGCUCGGAAUUAUUGGGCGUAAAGCGCGUGUAGGCGGCUUUGCAAGUCGGGUGUGAAAUCCCUCGGCUCAACCGAGGAAGUGCGCCCGAAACUGCAGAGCUUGAGUACUGGAGAGGAUGGUGGAAUUCCCCAAGUAGAGGUGAAAUUCGUAGAUAUGGGGAGGAACACCGGUGGCGAAGGCGACCAUCUGGACAGAUACUGACGCUGAGGUGCGAAAGCGUGGGGAGCAAACAGG
rnacentral:rRNA from 1 species